UACGGAGGGUGCGAGCGUUGUCCGGAGUCACUGGGCGUAAAGGGCGGGUAGGCGGCCACCGCAAGUCGACUGUGAAAUCUCCGGGCUUAACCCGGAAAGGUCAGCCGAUACUGCGGGGCUAGAGUGCAGAAGGGGCAACUGGAAUUCUCGGUGUAGCGGUGAAAUGCGUAGAUAUCGAGAGGAACACCUGCGGCGAAGGCGGGUUGCUGGGCUGACACUGACGCUGAUGCGCGAAAGCUAGGGGAGCGAACGGG
rnacentral:rRNA from 1 species